rnacentral:rRNA from 1 species
CCUGUAGCUGGAAGGUUCCCCCGGGGUUACGGGGGCAACGAUCAGCUGCUGCAUGCCUAAACCGUGCAGUUCACAGAUCAAACGCGAGUGGCCUGCGCCCGCAGGUUGAGAUAUGACCGUAGCAGCUCUGCCAAGAGUCUGAUCGUCUAGUUCCGUAGGUGAACCUGCGGAAGGAUCAUUA